GAGCAAGUCACCACAUGUAGGUUUUGAGAUGGCCUACACAGCCUACGGCAGUCCACCAUCACGCAUUCUGAUUCUUAGUCACCAUCGGACUAGAAGUCUUACAGAGAUCACUGGAUGUGGACGGACGUAUGGGAGGCUCUCUAUGAUCAAUAAAGUAGUGAGAAGUAUGCUAAUAGGUGGUAGAGUGCUCGACAGAAUUAGGCCACCCAGUAGGAUCUAAUCAGACACACGGGCGGCUCCAUUGGCACAUCUUAUGGCCGACAGACUGAUAAAAAAUCUAUAUCAAAAUUCUUCAGUAAAACUAUAAAAACUCUUAUAUGCAUACUUUAAUUAAUUUAAUUUUAUUAUUUAGUUAUUAUAGAUACGGUAGUUGGUUCGUCCACCAGACUAGCUACAGUUGUGGUGGACCACACACUAGUUUAGGAGGACUUAUGACUAUUCAGAUUCUACGUCGCAGCAGAUCGUGGUAAGAACUUCAAACUAUAUUUUUUAAGCUAUUACAGGAUCUGAUAUGUAUAUUAAAACUAAUAUAUUUCUGAACUAUGUAGGUGG
rnacentral:lncRNA from 1 species